rnacentral:rRNA from 1 species
AUGGCCAGACUGACCGUGUUGUCUUGGCCGGCGAUGACGUCCACCGGCGGCGCCGUGGGCGAUCUAGACGGCGAACGGAUGGACACAGUUAAAACCCUGACAUCUUUCCCCGUGGAAGCAGCCUCAGCGACGCCCACACGAGCAUCCUUUCUCUCAGCCAUGGGAGCGUGUUCUCCACGGUUCGCCCCAUCACCGUCCGGCGACGGCGAGGCAACUCGUCCCAUAGCCACUUCUCUCCUUUCGAGCGACGAAGAGUGUACAGAUCUAACAUUCCUUUCCCCAGCACCGCCGAUGAAAGCUAUGCGAUCCGAGCAGAGAUCGGAAGAAAGAGCGGUUUCCUGGCGGUCCGAUCCGGUAUGCGCCGCGUUUCGGCCGUCGACGACGUUUACCGAUCGCGCCGCCGCAGCGACACCUCCGGAAACAAGUUGCCCUGUUUUAGCCGGCGCGACGAGCAUCACCUGGCUGCUCAUGCCGGCCUUCCUUUCCCCUCCGCCGGAGCCCGUCGCGCGAUCUGUCUGCCAGAGGGCGCUGCUUACUUCUUCCACACGCACGGAAUCGGCUGGUUCCACGAUGUGCUUCAGAAUGAUGUUAUUAUGGCCCAACAUCAGCGGCGGCGGCAUGUCGUGA